rnacentral:rRNA from 1 species
GACGAACGCUGGCGGCGUGCCUAAUACAUGCAAGUCGAGCGAACGGACGAGAAGCUUGUUUCUCUGAUGUUAGCGGCGGACGGGUGAGUAACACGUGGAUAACCUACCUAUAAGACGGGGAUAACUUCGGGAAACCGUAGCUAACACCUGAUAAUAUUUUGAACCGCAUGGUUCAAAAGUUAAAGACGGUCUUGCUGUCUCUUAUAGAUGGAUCCCGGCUGCAUUGGCUAGUGGGUAAGUUACCGGCUUACCAAGGGAAGGCUGCGUAGCCGACCUGGAAGAGUGACCGGCCACACUGGAACUGGACCCGGGUCCAGACUCCUAGGGGAGCCACCAGUAGGGAAUCUUCGGCAAUGGGCGAAAGCCUGCCGGAGCACGGCCGCGUGAGUGAUAAAGGUCUUGGGUUCGUAAACCCCUGUUACUAGGGAAAAACAGAUGUGUACGUAGCUGAACACAUAUUGACGGUACCGAAUAAGAAAGCCACGGCUAACUACGUG